rnacentral:rRNA from 1 species
CGAAGCGUGCGAUUGGAUUGCACGUCUAAGCAGUAAGGCUGAGUAUUAGGCAAAUCCGGUACUCAUUAAGGCUGAGCUGUGAUGGGGAGAAGACAUUGUGUCUUCGAGUCGUUGAUUUCACACUGCCGAGAAAAGCCUCUAGAUAGAAAAUAGGUGCCCGUACCGCAAACCGACACAGGUAGUCAAGAUGAGAAUUCUAAGGUGAGCGAGCGAACUCUCGUUAAGGAACUCGGCAAAAUGACCCCGUAACUUCGGGAGAAGGGGUGCUCUUUAGGGUUAACGCCCAGAAGAGCCGCAGUGAAUAGGCCCAAGCGACUGUUUAUCAAAAACACAGGUCUCUGCUAAACCGUAAGGUGAUGUAUAGGGGCUGACGCCUGCCCGGUGCUGGAAGGUUAAGAGGAGUGGUUAGCUUCUGCGAAGCUACGAAUCGAAGCCCCAGUAAACGGCGGCCGUAACUAUAACGGUCCUAAGGUAGCGAAAUUCCUUGUCGGGUAAGUUCCGACCCGCACGAAAGGCGUAACGAUUUGGGCACUGUCUCAACGAGAGACUCGGUGAAAUCAUAGUACCUGUGAAGAUGCAGGUUACCCGCGACAGGACGGAAAGACCCCGUGGAGCUUUACUGUAGCCUGAUAUUGAAAUUCGGCACAACUUGUACAGGAUAGGUAGGAGCCUUUGAAACGUGAGCGCUAGCUUACGUGGAGGCGCUGGUGGGAUACUACCCUAGCUGUGUUGGCUUUCUAACCCGCACCACUUAUCGUGGUGGGAGACAGUGUCAGGCGGGCAGUUUGACUGGGGCGGUCGCCUCCUAAAAGGUAACGGAGGCGCUCAAAGGUUCCCUCAGAAUGGUUGGAAAUCAUUCAUAGAGUGUAAAGGCAUAAGGGAGCUUGACUGCGAGACCUACAAGUCGAGCAGGGUCGAAAGACGGACUUAGUGAUCCGGUGGUUC